rnacentral:rRNA from 1 species
GACGAACGCUGGCGGCGUGCUUAACACAUGCAAGUCGAACGGAAAGGCCCUGCUUUUGUGGGGUGCUCGAGUGGCGAACGGGUGAGUAACACGUGAGUAACCUGCCCUUGACUUUGGGAUAACUUCAGGAAACUGGGGCUAAUACCGGAUAGGAGCUCCUGCUGCAUGGUGGGGGUUGGAAAGUUUCGGCGGUUGGGGAUGGACUCGCGGCUUAUCAGCUUGUUGGUGGGGUAGUGGCUUACCAAGGCUUUGACGGGUAGCCGGCCUGAGAGGGUGACCGGCCACAUUGGGACUGAGAUACGGCGCAGGCUCCUACGGGAGGCAGCAGUGGGGAAUAUUGCACAAUGGGCGGAAGCCUGAUGCAGCAACGCCGCGUGCGGGAUGACGGCCUUCGGGUUGUAAACCGCUUUCGCCUGUGACGAAGCGUGAGUGACGGUAAUGGGUAAAGAAGCACCGGCUAACUAC